GUGCUUCAGAGUUUGAUGCUCUC
rnacentral:sRNA from 1 species